rnacentral:rRNA from 1 species
AGCAGCCGCGGUAAUUCCAGCUCCAAUAGCGUAUAUUAAAGUUGUUGCAGUUAAAAAGCUCGUAGUUGAAUUUCGGGGUCAGUAGGUUGGUCGUGCCACUGGUAUGUACUGGCUUCGCUGAUUCCUCCCUCUUGUAGAACCGUAAUGCCAUUAAUUUGGUGUUGCGGGGAAACAGGACUGUUACUUUGAAAAAAUUAGAGUGUUUAAAGCAGGCUAACGCUUGAAUACAUUAGCAUGGAAUAAUGAAAUAGGACGUUUGAUCCUAUUUUGUUGGUUUCUAGGAUUGACGUAAUGAUUAAUAGGGAUAGUUGGGGGCAUUAGUAUUCAAUUGUCAGAGGUGAAAUUCUUGGAUUUAUUGAAGACUAACUACUGCGAAAGCAUUUGCCAAGGAUGUUUUCAUUAAUCAAGAACGAAAGUUAGGGGAUCGAAGACGAUCAGAUACCGUCGUAGUCUUAACCAUAAACUAUGCCGACUAGGGAUCGGAUGAUGUUAAUUUUUUAAUGACUCAUUCGGCGCCUUA